rnacentral:rRNA from 1 species
GACGAACGCUGGCGGCGUGCUUAACACAUGCAAGUCGAACGGAAAGGCCCUGCUUUUGUGGGGUGCUCGAGUGGCGAACGGGUGAGUAACACGUGAGUAACCUGCCCUUGACUUUGGGAUAACUUCAGGAAACUGGGGCUAAUACCGGAUAGGAGCUCCUGCUGCAUGGUGGGGGUUGGAAAGUUUCGGUGGUUGGGGAUGGACUCGCGGCUUAUCAGCUGGUUGGUGGGGUAGUGGCUUACCAAGGCUUUGAUGGGUAGCCGGCCUGAGAGGGUGACCGGCCACCUUGGGACUGAGAUACGGCCCAGACUCCUACGGGAGGCAGCAGUCGGGAAUAUUGCCCAAUGGGCGGACGCCUGAUGCAGAAACGCCGCGUGCGGGAUGACGGCCUUCGGGUUGUAAACCGCUUUCGCCUGUGACGAAGCGUUAGUGACGGUACUGGGUAAAGAAGCACCGGCUAACUACGUG